rnacentral:lncRNA from 1 species
AAAGUGUUGCUUGGUACCCCAUCUUGCCAAAAGUCUGCCACCUUGUUGCAUUCCCGAAGCUAUGCCGGAUCACUGGAUUCCAUAGUUUCUUCAACAAGUACCUGCAUUCUAAGAUAAUGUUAGUAUAUGCAAGGGAUGUAUUGUGUUGCAGUAGUUUGAUUAUGUCCGUUGAGUCCGUAUCUAUCUCUAGUGGCACUAUUCCUUUAUGUGAGUCAGAGUUUUGUGUGAUGUGCUUUUGUAGUUGGAUGUUAAGAAAUUAAAUUCCAUGGCACGAGUUUUAACCAUAUGGUAGUUUAAGGUGUUUGAGUAGUUGUGGAAACAGUUGUUGUUAUGUUAGUCAGAGGUUAUAUUCCAAAAGGAAAGAUUUCCUCCAAGGCUAUGUGGUUAUGGUUGACCAGUAUUUUGGAAUUUUUAGUAGCAAAAAGCUAGUAUUGUCACGUGGAAUGCUAUUAAUAUCAUCCCUAUCGUAUUCCAAAACGAUCAGGCUGCAAGGCAAUCAAGGAAGAUGUGAGUUAUGAUUUCUUCCACUCUUUCAAACUUUGCAAGUAUUUUCCAUUGUUACUCCUAUUUGAUGGAGGUAGGAGUUUGUUGGUCGCUUAUUUUUAAAACAUUGCCAGAGAAAAAAAUUAAUUUUAUUGAGGGUGUGCGGCUUCCACAUCCAGCUAUAGUCGAUUGUUGUAGGAAAUGUGUUGGUGGAGUAAUUUGUAGACGGAGUGGGUGGUGAAGGUGCCAUUUGUGUUUGGCAUCCACAAGGGUGUGUCUGCUAUAUCGGGGUUUUAUACGAAGUGAUUAGGAGUGAUAUUUUAGGCAAUGUUUGCAGGUAGUUCAAAUGAAAUAUUUGACCAGUCCCAUUGGUUAUUUACCUAAACUUGAUUAAAGGUUAUAUUGCCCUCAUAUUUGGUUAGAGGACUUUGGAUGAUUGAACGAAUGUUCGUUUUGUUUGGGGCCCAGCAUUCAUAAUAGAUGUUUAUAGAUUUUCCAUUUCCAAUAUCCCAAGCUAGCCCCUUGCUGAUGGUUUCCCAACCUUUCAGGAUAUUUUGUCAGAUCAAAGAGGUUUCCUUGAUAUUAGACUUAUAUUGGUUGUGCUGGAUUAAGGUAUUUUCCCAUAGUGCAGUUGAGUUGGCAAAUAAUCUCCAAGCUAGGCCUACAAGGAUAGCUUAGUUUUUAUGCCCUGCCUUUGGAAUCCCUAGGCCACCUCUGUCCUUUGGAAGGGUUACAACGUCCCAUAAGACAUAGUGUAUUUUCCUUUUAGUAGUGGUCGUUCCCCAAAUAAAAUCCCGCUGUAUUUUGUCGAUUUGGUGUAGAGUAUUUUUUGGGAGGGAUAUGUAUUGCAUAUUGUAAUUAGGGAUAGCAUUAAGGGUUGCUUUUGCGAGUGUUGCUCUUCCAGCUAGUGUCAGAAAAUUUAUUUUCCAGCUUGAGAGCUUAUUCCUCAUGUUGUCAGUUACGAAUUGAAAGUCCAAUGGCUUAGGCCUAGUGUUUGUAAUUAGGAAGCCCAAGUAUUUUUCGAACUGGUUGGUCUGCUUAAUGUUGAAAAGAUUGAUUGUGUAUUCUUUUAUGUUUGUUGAGCAGUUUUCGGAGAAUAAAAUUUUUGAUUUAUUGUUAUUGAUUUAUUGGCCUGAUAGGGAGCAGAAUGUAGAAACGGAGUGGUGGAUAGAAUUGAUUGUGUUUCUCUUUGCUUGUCCCAUGAAUGUUAAGUCGUGUGUGUAGAAGAUAUGAGAGAUUAGUAUCCUUCCACCCAAUUUUGAUCGGGUGCCAGAGGGAGAUAUCGACUUGGUGGUGUAUGUAGACUGAAAGCAGUUCUAUGGUGAAGAUGAAUAGGUAGGGGGAUAGAGGGUCCCCUUGUCUGAUUCCUUUCGAUGGUUCAAAGUAAUCUGUUUGAACUCCAUUUACUAAGACAACUAUUUGACUAGUGGUUAUGCAGUUCAUAGUCAAAUAUAUGAUUUUUUGGGGGAAUUUGAAUAAAAUUAGGUCCUUAUAGACAAACGACCAUUCUAUUCUAUUGAAUGCUUUUUCAAGGUCUAUUUUGAUAAUGAGGUGACCAAUCUGCCAUUUCUUUUUUCGAAUUGGUUGAUCACCUCCUAAAUGAUAAUGGCAUCAUCGCAAGACCUCCUGCCUUAUAAAAAACUUGCUUGACAAGGACUUAUUAGGUCAGGAAGAAAAGGCUUAAUUCUGUUGACAAUUAUCUUGGUGAUUAUUUCGUAGAUAAUGUUGUGCAGACCUAUUGGUCUGAAAUUGUUCAGGUUAUUUGCAUGUUUGAAUUUGGGAAUAAGACAAAGAAUGGUUUUGUUUAUUUCUCUAGGGAUUCUGGAUUGGCUGAAGGCUUCUUUGCAUAACUGAAUGACAGAGGGGCCCAAUAUAUUCCAGUGACGCUGGUAAAAAAAUUGGAUGUAUAUCAUCUUGCCCCGGUGCCUUAUAAGGCUUGAAAGAGUAUACUGCACAAAUAUUUUCAUGAGUGCCUAGGGGUCUAUCUAGGGACGAAAGGUCUAUGUUAAAAAAGCUUGUGUGUGCAUUACUGAUAAAAUUCCAUUUUGACAAAAUAUGAUUAGUGGUGAAAAUAUUUUUAUAGUGUUGGUGUGUGUGGUCAAUUAUUUUUUGAUGGGUCAGUGAUCCAGUUAUCAGAGUUGUCUUUAAAAAAGGAGAUAGUAUUACGCCUCCGCUUGUGAAGGACAGAUAUAUGGAAUAUUUUUGUAUUUGUUUCCCCUUCACUGAGCCAGUUUAUUCGGGACCUAAUUUUUCAGUGGUCUUCCUCUAGUCGAAGGAUAUUAUUAUAUUCAUGGGUAAGGGUCUGUUCUAGAUUUUUAAGGUAGGUGUUAUGGGUGUAACUAGGAUAGUUUUGGAUACCAUAAAUUCUAGCAAGAAGUCUCUUUUUGUUAGCACAAAUAUUGCCAAAAUUUCGGGCGCUCCAUUGACUAAUAUUUACAUUAAAGCUUGAAAGGGCAUCAUUAAAGUUAUUAUUAGUCCAAGUUUUCUCAACUAUUUUACUGAACUCCGUGUGGCUUAGCAAACAUUUUUCUAGUUUGAAAGGUUUAUUUGUCAUUGUUCUAGUGUUUAUGAGUCUAACUAGUAAAGGAUUGUGAUCAGAGCAGGUUUUAGGCUGGUGGGUAAUGAGCACAGAGGGGUAUUGUUCUAACCAGGACUCGUUUGUAAGGCAUCUAUCUAGGCUUUCUAGUAUCAACCUAUGCCUCUUAUGGUUGGACCAUUUGUACUUAGAGCCCUUAAAACCUAGGUCCAUUAAAUUGCAAUAGUUGAUACAUGCCCUAAAGCUAGUAGUUCUAUUUUUAUUGACAUUCCUGCCACCCCAUUUUUCAUUAUAGUUAAGCACAUCAUUGAAAUCGCCACCCAUUAGCUAGGGUCCUUUAUAAUUAUCAUAAAUAUUUUUAAUGUUAUUCCAUAAUUCUAGUCUCUUAACUAAAGAGUUACAAGCAUAGAUGGAACUAAAAAGCCACGGGUUAUGAUUUGGCAAUACAUGACAAGUGCAUAAAGCUCCUGGUCAGUCUGCUUAAUUCUUUCCACUGCUACUAAAGCAUCUACCCACAUGAUCACCAUUCCUCCAACUCGGCCUGCUGCUGGUAUUUCUAUAUAAUCAGAAAAGUUAAACUCUGCUCUAAGGCUGGCAUGGAUAUCCAUUUUAGUUUCCAAAAGUGCCACCAUGCAUGGAUUAUGAUUAUUUACCAGUUCCCUAAAGUUGCGUCUGAACUCAGCAUUAUAUGCGCCCCUUACGUUUCACACUAUUAUGCUAGUUGGUGUAUUCAUUAGAGGAGAGUGGUUUUGGGUUGUAGGUAUCAUAUUAUUCCCCCGCAUGAGGUUACUGGCCCUCAAUUUUGGAUUCAGCAUCACUGCGUAUUUUACCGUGGUGGAGUUGAACGACGAAUUGAUAUCCACUGAGCAUUUUUGGAGUGCUACUGGGCAUCGUAGUAUGUUCUUCCUGUCUUCCCUCUCCGGAAAGAACAUAAGGGCUAUAUCUCUUAUGGUUGAUAUUUUUGUGAACGAGCUUCUUAUUGGAAGGGGAGGUAUCACGGUUUCGUCGACUUUUGGGAUUACCUGCUCCUCGUUUGGACAUUGUUCCAUUGGAGGGUCCAUGUGGGCUGGGACUUGAGCCAAUUGGGGUGUCCAAGGAAAUAAGAGGGAAUUCAUUUCUCUCACCUCUGUUGGUGGGAAGAAAGGAAGCUCGAACAUUUGAUUCAUGUUCAGGAGAGGGUUCAAAUGUUGAGGUAGGUUCUAGUUGUUGUGCAUUGUGGAAUAGAGUGAUGGAGCUAUUGCAGGGGCUAGGGGGCCGGGGAUAUUUGCCAUCCACAUGUGGUUCAUAUAGUUGUCCAUGUCCAUUCUCAUUCCCUCCAUCACUACCUGUGCUAGAAAACUCGAAUUUUGUAUGAUCAUCAUCCCCUCCUGCCCUUCAAUUAUCAUGGAAUAAAAGAGAGCUUGACCCUGAAGUCCCUGCUCAAUCCAUGAAGUGGAUUGGUGAUCCGGGUGUUAUGGUUGAGUUACAUAGACUAAGUUUGGGUUGUGCAUAGGGUUGUUUUGGUUGUUGUUGUUCAUUGUUGGGGAGUUGAAAGAAUGUGUGGGCACUUUGUGAGUUAGUAGUGCUAGAUGGGACCUCUUGUUCAGUGGGAGAAGAAGAUUUGGAUUUGGCAUUUAAUUAUUGGGAGUGAGUUAUUAAAAAGGUUUUGGAUGUAUGCUGAAAAGUUGAAGGGAAUGAUUGUAUAUCUCUUGCCUUAUAUUGGAGAGGAGUUUGAUUGGGGGACGAUGGCGUGUGGGAGUAUAUAGUGUCCGUUUGGUUCGUAGUGUACAUAGGUUUUGCCAUUUGGAUAGUGUCCAUUGCCAAGUGUGUGCAUGUGUAAUUCAUAUCGUCCGACUUGUCAUGCAGAUAUUGAGUGUUUAAUCCAUGCAAGGAAUUAUUUGGGCCUAGGUUGUAUUUGGAAAUAGCUUCUAGAUUAAUUGGCAACUUGUCAUGCAAAUGUUUUGCAAGUUUAUUGGCUGAGUGUUCGUGUUGUACACGUGGAAUUUCCCUUGUGGCCUGGAUUCUAGGUUGUAUCAAAGAGAGUUUUUGAGAGGGAGACGAAUCAUUUUGGUUUUCUAGAGUAAUUUUCAUUGGGGCAGUUUCCAUCUCUUCAUCUUCCUCAAGUUCUUGAAGAUAUUGAAAUUUGUUAUUAAGAGGAGUGUGCUUUUCGGCUGAGUUAAAAAAAAAUUUAGUGUUGAUUACUGACUUUGAUUCUUUAAUGGAUUAAUAGGAGUAUUGCUCAGGGGGUGGGGAUAGGGAUCGUCAAUUCCCUUGGACUUAUAGGAGAGUUUCUGGGUAUGGAGGUACUUACCUGUGGCGGCUUAAAACAUUUUAACUUUGAGAAUUGUCUGCCCGUUUUGAGGUCCAUCCUGCUGAGGUAAGGAUCGAGCUCCAGUUGAUUCCACAUUUUUCCUUGUUGCUACUGGUUGUGGUGCCUUUACGUAUGGGUUGUUCUUAUGUUUGAACUCCACAGUUUGCCACUAGUUUGAUGGACUGUUUGAGGUUGUCGGUGCCUGUUGUAUAUCUCAGUGCGUAUGGCUUUAAGUUUCAGGAAAAUUAGGAUGAAUUUCAAAGAAUAGCUGCAGUUGGAAACUUUGAAUUUGAAAGAUUUGACCAAGAGUUGGCUUAUGUGUACGCAAGCUCGGAUCGGAGUUUUUAUUAUUUGGUUAGCUUCAUCGGAUGAUUUAUGACUUAGGAGCGUGAUCGAAAUUGGUUUUGGAGAUCCGGUAUGGAAUUUUGAUUGAAUUGGUGGAACUAGUAUUUUGGUGAUUUUUGGUUAAUAGGUGAGAUUUUUAUCCAGAAGUCGGAAUGGUGUUCCGGGAGUUGCUAUAGCUUCGUUAGGUGAUUUGGAGUAUGUGUGCAAAAUUUGAGAUCAUUCGGACGUGAUCUGAUUUGAUUUUUUAUCGAAUACGUGUUUUAAAAGUUUUAUAAGAACUUGGGCUUGAAUUCGAUAUAAUUCGAUGAUUUUAGUGUUAAUUGAGGCAUUUUGAUAAUUGGACCAAGUUUGAAUAACGUUAUAGGAUUUAUUUGUGUUUUUGGUUGAGGUCCUGCCGGCCUCAGGGUGAGUUCGGGCGGCUAAACGAAGAGUUUUGGGACUUAUGAAAUUAUAAUUGCUAUUGUUUCUGGUAUUUCUGCUUCUGCGGAAUUGGGAUCGUAAGAAGUAUCGGAGAAGCGAAGGGAAAGUUGCAAAAGAGAAAAGGGAGAUGGAGGCAGCUUUCGCAGAUGCGGACGUGUGGAUUGCAGAAGCGGUCUCGCUUUUGAGGGAAAUGGACCGCACAGCGGUCCUAGGCAAAAUGAGGGAAACCGCAUAAGCGGAAGAAAAUCCACAUAAGCUACAUUUUUAUCACAGAAGCGGAAAUAGGCCUGGGCAGAAGGGUUUUAUUUGAAUAUUUCAUCCGCGAGCUUGGGAUAUUUCCACCAUUGUUGGGCAACCUUGACAGCUUUUGGCGAGAAUAAAAUAGAGCUUUAACUGAGAAUCGAUUGGAGGUAAGUCCGUUGUCUUAAAUACAUGAGAAUGUGAUAAAGCUAACAUGGAAAUUGGUUGAAAUUCAUCAAAAGGGGGUAAAGCUUUGGCAUGAAAAUUUUUAAUUUAAAAAUGGAAUUUGAAGGGUCAAAUGGACUCCGAUUUUGGAAUUCCUAAUACGUAUGUACUCGUAAUAAGAUGAGGAAUCUAAAUAUGUAAAAAAAUGUGAGUUUCGAGAAGUGGGCCUGGGGCUCGAGUUUUGGUAAUUUUGGGAUUUGUGCUCAUUCAUGAUUGUUUUCGCUAGGGCUUUGUUCCCUUGGCAUAUUGUGAUAUAUUCGCUCUGAUUUUGGAUAUAUUCGAUGCAAGUGGAGGCCGAUUUGAGGAUCAAAGGCGUCACAGGCUAGAGAUUUAGCCGGUUCGAGGUGAGUAAUGCCUGUAAAUGAUAUCCUGAGGGUUUUAAGCCCCAGAUUUCACAUUGUAACGCUAUAUUGAGGAUAACACGCAUUCUAUGAUGAGUGCAUGGUCAUUUACUAUAUUGUGACUUGGUCCAUCCCACGUGUUAUUUCUACUAUAUUGGUGAUUGAGAUGCGUACUUUAUUACUAUGAAUUUGGCUUAUUGCCAUGUUUGGGCCCUUGUGCCGACCUGUAGAAUCCUUAGAGGAUCUUCAUUUGUUUUUUUUUCCUCACUUGUUUGCAUAAAAUAUACUCUCAGUCAUGUAGUCAACUACUAAAAAUAUUAUAAGAACUGCAUUUUGAACUUGAAUCAUAAAUGAAUGAAUAUGAGGGAUGAGAUCCCCACAGUAUGUUAUGCCCGAGUGGCUGUGAAUUUUUUUGACUGAGAUAGGUUGAGGACCCGAUAGUGAGAUGUUUUCCUAUGAUAUGGAUUGGGUUGCACGCUGCAGCAAUGAUAUAUUGAUAUUGUGGACGAGAGCCUAUUUGAUGCCACGAGAUGGCUGAUAUAGGAGCCCCUCCGGAGUCUGUAUACACCCCGAGUGAGCACCGUCGACGAUAAAUAAAUAGAGCGAGCUGCACGCCGCGCCGGGUACCAGAGUGUACCGUUAUUUGCAUUGCAUUGCAUUCAUGCAAUUGUUCAUUAUUUGUUUUUUGCGAUAUUUCUUGAGAUAUUUAUCUUCUGUUAUGUAAUCAUCUAAUCACUCCUGAAGAGAAUAAAUCUUAGACAGUGAUAACAAUGAUACUGUAUGAUGCGUUUGGUCAGGUAGCAAUGGCUGAACAUAAAUAAGAAUAAUUGCCCGAGGGGCGGAGUUAUGUGCUAGUGUCACUAAUUGUUGAAAUUAUUUUCGCAACUGUUGAAAGGAUAAUUUUCGAAAGAGAUUUAAAACUGAGCCAAGACAUUUUAAAAGAUUUCACAGUUUUCACUAAUUUUCUCAAUUAAAGGGCUGUUCACUGCUUCUAUACAUCAUGAUGAUAUGUUGUAUGGAUUUUCUUACUGCUCAGUUAUUAUUUACUUUAAUUACUCACUGAGUUGGAGUACUCACUUUACUCCCUGCACCUCGUGUGCAUAUGCAGGUACUUGUUCACCCGGUAGCGGAUUUUAAGCUGAUUGAAGAUGUGCUAUCCUAGCUAAGCCAGGGUACCGCUAGCAUUCGCGGCACCGGAUUUUUUUUCCUUUUAAUUUAAAUCCCAUUAUGUAUACCAUUGGCCUUGUAGAUGUAAUUAGACUCUUUUAGAUACUCGUGACUUGUGACACCCCGGUUUGGGCUGUGUUUAGGUUGUAUUUCUGCUAAAUGAUGUUAUUAAAUUAUCUUUGAAAUUGUUUAUUCAUGUUUAUCUAUUGUUGAAAAGGCUGUUUAAGUGGGUUGGAUGGUCUUGUCUUCACAAAAGGCACCAUCACGACCGGAGCAGGGUUUGGGUCGUGGCAAGUUGGUAUCAGAGCCUAGGUUACAUCGGUCUCACGAGUCAUGAGCAGGUUUAGUAUAGUCUCGCGGAUCAGUAUGGAGACGUCUGUAUUUAUCCUCGAGAGGCUGCAGAACCUUUAGGAAAACUUUACAUUCUUGAAUUCUUAUCGUGCGUUCUCGAUUCAUCUUGAAAAGUAACUCUUGAAAUUCCUUCCACGUGUUCGCAUGUGCGCAUGAGCACUCAGUAUCAGAUGUACCUUGAUGACUUGUGAUUCCCCGAUUUAGGGGCGAGACGUGAUCUCUGUGAGUUGAUAUUGGUCCAUUCUGGAGGACUUGAGGUCGCAUCUCCGUCUAUGGCUUGAGCACCGAGGUACUGAUUAUGUGAGCAAGUGAUUUGGACUUAUAUGUUCGAUGUUGUCUACAUUAGCCGGAAUGGCAGUUGGAUAUCCAUGUGAUGAGUAUGUUGGUACUGCAAGAUGUUUCUAUAUGAACUGAAGGUGUCAAGGAAGGUCUGCUGGAUGAUAGGCGAACCAUUAAGUGUUUGAUUUCCAUUGUGGUUGGAUGUGUUGCCCUGAAUUAUGGACACGCGAAGAACCCUUCAAGUCCCCUAGUUAGGAGAGAGAUGAAUUUCCAAUUUCGGUUUGAGUUCAGACUCACGAAAACGAGUUGAAUGUGUAAUGUGUGUGACUGUGGAAGGUAUACGGAAAUGUUAUAUUGAGGUGAAGCAGGUGGGUUAUCUCCUGCAGAGUGUUCUGAAGUGGUGUGAUCCUUAUUUGUAUGUUGGAAGAUCUCACGUGUAAGUGAAUAGUAUGUGUGGAAAGUUGUAGAUUUUGGGUCACUUAAGAGAAUGGGCAUAACGGUUACGGGAAUGAAUACGAGAUUUGUAGAAGAUUUACAGUACUAGAUUAUAUAUGUUUUCACAACUCAUAGAUGAUUCGAGUUUACUCUUACUAGGUUAUUUUUACAUCAAUGGAGUAAAAGUGUUAUGAGUUAAUGAAUGUAUCUAGAUCUAUGGUUCCGAGCCAAGUAAGGGAGCCUGCUAUAGGAAAUUGGUUGCACGGUUAUGUGCUAUGUUGGUUCGAAUUUGAGACGUGCGAGUGAAUUAGCUAUGGAUAUAGUAGACUUAGACAAGGUUAUACCAUGCUUCAUGGGGUAUGAGACUCAUGAAAUGUUUAGAAUUGUUGUUGGUAAAUGAUACUCGGUGCAUAGAGCAGGAAAUUGCUUGGUUGUAUUGGGACGACGAUUUCAUUAAGCGAUAUCGGAGUGCCGAUGAGGCACAGGCAGUUCUGUUCGUGGGUCAGGUAAAUUACAGUUUGAAUGAGAGUAACUGGCUUGCGAGAAUGGUUAUAAUGUGUUCAAGAGUCUGCGUACACUAAUUGAGUGUUCUAAACUUCCAUAUGUGGCUAGAAACUGAGUUUCAUUAGAAGAUGUCAAGACUUGUGGUAUUUCUGGGAACAUUUGGGAGAGCAUUUAGCGGGUUAUGUGUUUUAGAUUGAGUGUUUUUAUGAUCGGGUCUCGUGUGGUAAGAAUAGGAUGAAGGAUUGCAGUACCACAACAAAGGGAAAUAUCUGGUUGAAGACGGAUCAGAAGAAAAAUUUGAUAGAUGGAGUACCUUGAUUGCGGACCGGAUCGGCAUGGCAAGGGAACGAUUAAUUCUUGUUGUAUAUUCGAGGUAAUGAGUUAGCACAUGUAAUUUUACAGCAAUGCUCCUGGGUUUUGACGGUCACUUAGCAUAAUUUGGUUAGAAGGAUUCAGUUGUGGCAGUUUAGUUUGUGCAAAUGAAAUUGGGAGAGUUCUUGUGGAUAGCUACCGUGGUUGAAAAGGUGCACCUUCUACGAAUGUGAGAGGCAUGAGAUGUGCAAAGAUUUUCUUCUAGAUGAGAUCAAUGGAAGUUCAUGAUUAGAUUAGUUCCAGUUCAGGUUAUAAAGGAAAUUCAUACAGCACAUAGGCAGCGGGUAGCCUCAGAUAAUCAAGGAAAAUUGUACGGCUAUAUGAAAGUGAUUCUAUGAGAGUAUAUGUUUCAGAGAAAGGGAAAUGUGAUUAAGUGAUGGUACUUCGGUGGUGUUGCGGCACUUGUUUGUUAGAUCGACUGGUGAUAUUCGGGUUUGUUUGGUAGCACAGGGAGAUUUUUGAGUAUGUAUCCUGAAAUUAUUGGAUAUUUAGUUGUGGCAUGUGUUUGGGCGGCAAAAUUGGGAUCAAGUAUGAUGAUUCGUAUGUUAUGUUUAAUUGGAGGCGGAAGUCCUCAUAUUCGGGCUAUUUGUGAUGGUGGAUCAUGUGUAUCGGCACCGUUUGGUAACUAUUGAGAUUUGGAGGCUCGAAUGAAUCUUUCAUUGCUGGUAUGUUGGAUUUUGGAUAUGAUGUUGGAGUUCAGAUUCAGACUGGUUGUCUCAGUGUUAGAUGAAUUCUGGACUAUUGUGUUAUGGGCUAUGCUGGAAACGCCACGGUUUGAGUGGCGAGGUGCAUUGAGUUAUGUUCUUGUGGAGGGGUUUAUCUUUCAAAGACCCAGUGGACGGCUAGGAAGGAUUUCUUUUCCUAAUUGGGCCUUCUUCAUGAUUGUUAGUGCAAAGGCUGCUAUCAUUGAUUCCGUUCUGGUUUUGAGAGACUGUUCUAAAUGUGUUUCUUGUGGUCGGGCAUGUCGCCGAGCGAAGUAGUGGAUUUCGGCAUUGAUUUGGUGUCGGUCACCCUAUCGUAUGACUCCGGCAUGAGUUAUGGUAAUGAAAGAAGAAACUUCAGACUUCCUCAAUAAGGAGUUCAUUUGCAGGCUAAUGCGGAUGCAUGUUCUAGUUUGAGUCGGCUCGGUUGACUCUGAAUUGUAUUAUUGAAGGUUAGGUUGACUAGGCCGUUAUUGAGCUUAUCAAUGAUCUGGAGAGAUCUAUGAAUUGUUUUAUGUGUUGUGAGACGUUACGAUUUGUUGGUUAUGGGAACAUAUGGUGCGGUGCUAUCAGGAUCCAUAUUGGAAGUUGAGGGGGAAACCUCAGUUGUGCUUGAGUUUUGUAGCUUACAACUCUAUAUAUAGAUAUUAUUAUACACUCAGCAUGCUUACGACCGAUACUCAGUAUUUUGUUGAUGUGCAUCUCCUUAUGUGAGAUAUAUAUGUGGAUCGGGUGGCACGCCGCCAUGCGUAUGUUAUCUGGAUCGGGUUUCAUGCCACAACAGUGUGAUAUUGAGAAUAGUUUACAUAUGCUAUUUGUAUGCCUUGCUUCCUGGUUUCUAAGAAAAGUCUGUAUUGGGUGUUGCUCGGCGAGUGGCGCAUUGGUUGUGUCCUUUCAUGAUUGUAUGGUGUAUAUUACUUACUUCACCAUGGGUAUAAUGAUUUUCUUGGGUUCCAGAUAUCAAUCGUGCGUGGUUGUCAAUUUCGACUAUAAUGACUUGAGGUGUCUCAUGCGGAGCAGUAGUUAGAUAAGAUCGUGCACUAUAGCGAGGCUAUGUGGCGAUAUGACCCUGCAGGUUAGAUUUGUAUGCUCUAUUGUAUUAUGUGAGUUAGAUUCUCAGCCUUGUGUUGUGAUGGUACUAUCGAGAUUGAGGUACAGCUCUUUCAAUUGAGUCAUUUUCAUGAUCGGUGUAUAUUCAGACCGUUGCUUAUGGGUGCGCGUAGUCACGCAAAUUGAGGCUUAGGCCGUAUUGAUGUGUCAUGUCACCAAGGUGGUGUGUUUGGUCAGAAGAUACCGUUGGGAUCAUUAGUGGAUACGAUCGGAUUUGAUUUCAGCUUGUUGAAAGGAUGAUAUCGAGAUUCGGCUCGGAAUCUACUGCGGUAUUAGUCAAGAGGGAAGGAAAUGGCUUCAUGAAUGGUAGAUAUGAGAAAUGUUUAUGGUCUACUGCGUGUUUCAAUACACCUUAGUGGAAUAUGAAAGUGUUGAAAUGCGACGUUAGCUAAUAAGAGGUUUCUAUCGGUAUAUGGUUGUUGUGGACAGCUGACGCGAAUGGGAGUUGUCGUUGCAUGUGUUUAAGCUAUGUGGUGCAUCAUAUAAUUGCACCUGAGGUUCCAGGCAUGGGUUAUUACAGCUAGUUCGGGCCUAUUCAGAGUAUCGAUGAGAGAUUUUGAUCUUGUGGAUGAUUUCGGUAGUCAAAAUAUUGUUCUAUGGUUUAUGUACUAGGAUGGAUUGUGAAAUUUCGGUUAUAUUGUGAUAUCAGACCUAUAUGAGAUAGGGUGAGGUAGAAUCGCCCCCCGGUAUAUGCAUGGUAAAAUUAUUCAGCUUGAUUGGCUUCUAGAACAACUCUGGAACAUUAGAGGACGAACAUACGUUUAAGUGCGAGAGGAUGUAACGACCCGACCCAUCGUUUUGAGCUUUAGCAUUUUUAUCGCCAGUUCUCGGACAUGACUUGCCCCGCGUUAUGCAUUAUGACUGAUAUGGAUCAUUGUCUUCAAGUUUCAGGAAAAUCGAGAUGAAUUUAAAAGAAUAGUUGCAGUUGGAAACUUUAAAUUUGAAAGAUUGACCAAGAGUUGACUUAUUUGUACGCGAGCGCAGAUCCGAGUUUUUAUUAAUUGGUUAGCUUCGUCGGGUGAUUUAUGUCUUAGGAGCGUGAUCGGAAUUGUUUGGAGGUCCAGUGUGGAAUUUGCUUGAAUUGGCGGAACUAGUAUUUUGGCGAUUUUCGAUUGAUAGGUGAGAUUUUGAUCCCGGAGUAGGAAUGGAAUUUCAAGAGUUCCUGUAGCUUCGUUAAGAUGAUUUGGGUAUGCAAAAUUUUAGGUCAUUCGGACGUGAUCUGGUUGGGUUUUUGAUCGAAUGCGUGUUUUAGAAGUUUUAUAAGAACUUGGGCUGGUUGUAUAAUUCCCAAGCGGAAAGUCGUAUACUUUAAAAGUAGAUGGAGUGAUCAAGCGGCCCUUCUUGCGCCAACAUACAUCCAAUGGCAUAGAGUGAUGCGUCAGUUGAAUUCGAUGUAACCCAAUGAUUUUAGUGUUAAUUGAGGCGUUUUGAUAAUUUGAACAAGGUUGAAUAACAUAAUAGGAUGUAUUGGUGUUUUUGGUUGAGGUCCCGGGGGCCUCGGGGUGAGUUCGGGCGGCGAAACGGAGAGCUUUGGAACUUAUCAAAUGAUAAUUGCUUUUGCUUCUGGUAUUUCUACUUCUGUGGAAUUGGGAUCGCAUAAGUGGUACCGCAGAAGCGAAGGAAAGUCGCAGAAGAGAAAAGGGAGCUGGAGGCAGCUUUUGCAGAACUGGGUGUGUGGAUCGCAGAAGCGGUCUUGCUUUUGCGGGAAAUGGACCGCAGAAGCAGUCCUGGUGAAAUGAGGGAAACUGCGAUAUUUUUAUCGCAGAAGUGGAAAUAGGCCUAGGUAAAAGGGUUUUAUUUGAAUAUUUCAUCCGCGAGCUUGGGAUAUUUCCACCAUUGUUGGGCGACCUUGAGAGCCUUUGGCAAGAAUAAAAGAGAGCUUUGACUGGGAAUCGAAUAGAGGUAAGUCUCUUGGCUUAAAUAUAUGAGAUUGUGAUAAUCUAAUAUGGAAAUUCGUUGAAAUUCAUCAAAAGGGGGUAAAGAAAGGGCUUGGGAAUUUGUAUGAACUCGGGAUGAGAUGAGAAAUCUAAAUAUGUAAACAAAAUUGAGUUUCGAGAAGUGGGCCUAGGGCUCGGGUUUUGGUAAUUUUGGGAUUUGUGCUCGUUCAUGAUGGUUUUCUCUUGGGCUUUUUUCCCUUAGCGUAUUGUGAUGUAUUCACUCUAAUUUUGAAUAGAUUCAACGCGCCUGGAGGCCGAUUUGAGGAGCAAAGUCGUCACAGGCUAGAGAUUUCUCCGGUUCGAGGUGAGUAAUGUUUGUAAAUGACAUACUGAGGGUUUGAAACCAACCGGAUUUCACAUCGCAACGCUACAUUGAGGCAUGGCAUGCAUUCUAUGACGAGUGAGAGCUCAUUUACUGUUGGGGAUUGUGACUUGGUACAUACCGACUGUUAUUUCUACUAUAUUAGCGAUUGAGACACAUACUUUAUUACUGGGUGAAUUGGGAUUAUUUCCAUGUUUGGGGCCUUGUGCCGACCUGUAGAAUCCUUAGGGGAUCUUCAUUUGUUUUUUUUUCCUCACUUGUUUGCAUAAAAUAUACUCUCAGUCAUGUAUUAACUAUUAAAAAUAUUAUAAGAACUUUAUUUUGAACUUGAGUCAUAAAUGAAAUGAAUAUGAGGGCUGAGAUCCCUACAGUAUGUUAUGCCCGAGUGGCCGUGAAUUUGUUUGACUGAGAUGGAUUGAGGACCCGAUAGUGAGGAUGUUUUCCUAUGAUAUGGAUCGGGCUGCGCACCGAAGCAAUGAUAUAUUUAUAUUGAGGGCGAGAGCUUAUUUGAUGCCACGAGAUGGCCGAUAGUGCGCUUGGGCUGUAGGAGCCCCUCCGAAGUCUGUACACACCCCCAGUGAGCACCAUCAAUGAUAAAUAAAUGGAGCGGACUGCACACCGUAGCGGGUACCAGAGUGUACCGUUAUUUGCAUUACAUUCAUGCAUUUGUUCAUUAUUUGUUGUUUGCGAUAUUUCUUGAGAUAUUUAUCUGUUGUUCUGGAAUAUUCUAAUCACUCCUAAAGAGGACAAAUCUUUGACACUGGUAACAAUGACACUGUACGAUGCGUUUGGUCAAGUAACAAUGGCUGACCACGAAUAAGAUAAUUGCCUGAGGGGCGGACUUCUAUGCAUAAUGUCACUAAUUUUGAAAUUAUUUUUCGCAACUGUUGAAAGGAUCACUUUCAAAAGAGUUUUAAAACUAAGCCAAGAUAUUUCAAAAGAUGUCACAAUUUUUACUAAUUUUCUCAAUUUAAUGGCUUUUCACUGCUUCUAUACGGCAUGAUGAUUUGUCAUACGUAUUUUCUUACUACUUAGUUAUUAUUUACUUUCAUUACUCACAGAGCUGGAGUACUCACUUUACUCCAUGCACCUCGUGUGUAGAUGCAGGUACUUAUUCACACGGUAGCGGGUUUUGAACUGAUCGUAGAUUUGAAAUCCUAGCUAAUCCUGGUGACCGCUAGUGUCCGCGGCACCGAAUUUUUUCCCCUUUUGAUUUAAAUCCCAUUCUGUUUACCACUUGUCACGCCCUCUUUUUUAUAAAAAACAAACUCUCGCAUAACCCUCUUAAAUUAAUAAAAGGAUUUAGUAAAGCUUGAAAAGGGUUUUCAAUUUGAAAAGUGACAAAAAUUUGUGUUCAAAAGGAAAUACUCAUAGUCGCCACCUGACAUAUGAUUUCGGUGUGUCAAGUCACCGUUUUUUAUAAAUAAUUUUUCCUUCCAAAACACUUAAGACUCUAAAACUAAGUCUGCACCAAAGAUUAGGGUAAGGGGUUCAUUUGACUCAGGAAGAAGGUGUUAGGCACUCCCCAAGUCUCGUAAAAGUUUCGCUUGCGUACUCAAUCAAGUUAGCUUUUGAAAUAUUCAAUUGAGGCAGAAAUCACAGAAAAGGAAAAAUAAAUACACAAGAGGCUCGAGGUCGUCCCCACCUAAAUGAAAAAAAAAGAAUAAUGAAAAUAAAUUAAAAUACUACAAGUUUUUAUUUUUCGGUCUCCGAAUAAAAGUGCUACAGAGCAUACCCUAGAUAAAAAUAUAUACAAAUCCUUCGGGGCAUUCCCCGAAUAAAUUUACUAAGAGAUGACCUCUCACCUUGAAGCUAAUGAAAUCCUAAAGCUUGUCUACCCAAGUGUGGUCGGACUAAAUCAUGUUCCUAAAGAUCCCAACAAUAAUAUCAACAUUAAAUUAUCAUAGAUUCGUUUAUACCAAAUUCCAACUUCAUUCUUACGUCAAGUCAAAACUAUUUUCCUUUCUUAAGUUUGGCUGACACCACUCAUGUCCAAUUAUCUCAUUGGCCCAUUUGCUCCUUAGUUUGACAUCUUAUAUUCAUAAAUUUCUUUCCAAUGGUAAUGGAUAUGAAAGCAAAAACUAAUUUAAUCAAAUUCAAAGAAUGAAAAUAUUCAAGCAAUCAACAACAUAUAAUAUGAAAAAUCCAAACUCAUGUCAUUAAAGUCUUGUAUUUGAAACUAAAAGGAGAUAUGAAAGAGUUGGACCUCAAAACAAAGUAAUUUGAAUCUGAAAAAUGCGUAAAAACCUUGACAGGACUGCGAAUCUACCCAAAAACCUUGAAUCUGACACCAACUUCAAACGGACCUCUCCCCAGAUAGAAAAUGGAACUCGAAUCUUUUUGAGAAAGCCUGAACUGAAACCAAGUUAUCAACAAAGCCCGAACAGAAUUUGAAAACUUCACCAGAUUGAUCAGAACUUUGGGCAUGAACAACGACCCUAAAACUGAAACUGGGUUCAGGGUAAGUGGUUGGCGGCGGCUCUCUAGUCUUGGGUCUUGUGUGUUGAGAAGAAGAUGAAGUCUAGGAUUUGGUCUUAGGUUCUAAGGUUGAAGAAGAGAGAGUCUUCCUAAGGUUAGGUCUUAUAUAUUAGGGUGGGGUAAGGGG